AGAGUUUGAUCCUGGCUCAGGGUGAACGCUGGCGGUGUGGAUGAGGCAUGCAAGUCGAACGCCCCUUCGGGGGAGUGGCAAACGAGUUAGUAACGCGUGGGUAAUCUACCCUGUUCACGGGGACAACCAGUCGAAAGGCUGGCUAAUACCCGAUGGUCUGUCGGAUGCGGAAGCAGCUGACAGUAAAGAACUUCGGAACAGGAGGAGCCCGCGUCCUAUCAGCUUGUUGGUGAGGUAAAAGCUCACCAAGGCAAUGACGGGUAGGUGGUCUGAGAGGAUGGUCACCAACGAGGGCACUGAGACACGGGCCCUACUCCUACGGGAGGCAGCAGCCGAGAAUCUUGCGCAAUGGGCGAAAGCCUGACGCAGCGACACCGCGUGCUUGAAGAAGCUCUACGGAGUGUAAAGGGCUUUUCUGUGGGAACAACCUUCGGGUGAGGGUACCACAGGAAUAAAGGGGGGCUAAUCGCGUGCCAGCAGCAGCGGUAAAACGUGACCCCUAAGCGUUACCCGGAAUUAUUGGGCGUAAAGAGUCUGUAGGCGGUUUGGUAAGUUUGAGGUGAAAGCCCUCGGGCUCAACCUGAGGAACGCUUUGAAUACUGCCAAACUAGAAGGCGUCAGAGGCUGAUGGAACGCACGGUGUAGGGGUGAAAUCCGUUGAUAUCGUGCGGAACACCAAAAGCGAAGGCAUUCAGCUGGGGCGACCUUGACGCUGAGAGACGAAAGCUAGGGGAGAGAAGAGGAUUAGAUACCCUCGUAUUCCUAGCUGUAAACGAUGGAUGUUAGCUAUUGCAAGUGUCGACCCUUGCAGUGGCGAAGCUAACGCGUUAAACAUCCCGCCUGGGUAGUACAGCCGCAAGGCCGAAACUCAAAGGAAUAGACGGGGGCCCACACAAGCGGUGGAUCAUGUGGCUUAAUUCGAUGACAAGCGAGGAACCUUACCAGGGCUUGACAUCCUAGUGAUAACCAAAAGAGAUUUUGGUUUCCUACAAGGCACUAGGACAGGUGGUGCAUGGUUGUCGUCAGCAGGUGUCGUGAGAUGCACGCUUAAAUGCGGAAACCUGCGAAACCCUUACUCUAUGUUUUAUGUGUCAUAGAGAACUGCCCGUGUAUAACGGGAGGAAGGCGAGGAUGACGUCAAAUCAGCAUGUCCCUUAUGUCCUGGGCUGCACACAUGAUACAAUGGCCGGUACAACGGGUUGCCAAGUCGUAAGACGGAGCUAAUCCUUCAAAGCCGGUCUCAGUCCGGAUUGGGGUCUGCAACUCGACCCUAUGAAGCUGGAAUCGCUAGUAAUCGCGAAUCAUCACGUCGCGGUGAAUACGUUUCUGGGCCUUGCACACACCGCCCGU
rnacentral:rRNA from 1 species